CGAUCUCAUUUAAGAGGUAAGAACAUCACAAAUUGAAGAAAUCACAUGGAUGCUUACAGUUAUUGGUAUGGAUUUUCGAUCGAGUGAUCCUGGAUGCCAACGCCCAUAUCCUUUUCUAGUGUGUUCGAGGCUUCCAAUUCUUGAAUCGAUGGAGGCUGGCGCUGCGUUCUUCCAUCGGUUCUUCUUUCUUUGUAGUUCACGAUUGAUCAAUUCUUCGUGAGAUUCGUGUGAGCGCAUAUACAUACAGGAGAAAAACAAUUCAUUGUUAGAUUAUUAAUUGAUGAUUGCAAGAAGACAAGAUCAAUCAAUCAAUCUCCCUGAUUAGUUUCUUUCCUUUUUGUACGAGGAACAUCUCGUCUUCGCCGUGAAUCGCGUGGUGGCCGAAACUCUAGUAGCCAACUUCUCCAGACUUCUCCAGUCAUCGUCUGCGGCAAUUGCAGAUCGCCGGAGUGGCCUCCUCUGGCCAUAGAGAGGCCUUGCCGUUUGCCGCCGCUGUCGUCGGCAGUCAUGUGGCGGAUUGAAGCGCCGGAGGGCGCCGCUUCGACGCGCCUACAGAGGAGGGCGUCGUCAACCAUGGGGUGCCUCAGCCGCCUGCAUCGCGCGCUGGUGCUGCGCCGCUGGAGCGCUGUCGAGGCCGAGGGUCCUCGUGUCCUUGGGGCCGGAGGGAGGGUCAGGGACGGUGGAGCCGUCGAGUUCUUGGCCUAACUGCUCUCUGGAAGAGGCGUGCGUGAUAACGUGUUGGAGAGAAUCGAGAGAGAGGAGCGAAUGGAAAACAGAUAUAUGAAUGAACAGUUAUUCUAUUGAUUGAAGAUUGGGGUAUUUAUACCCAGUUUA